rnacentral:rRNA from 1 species
GACGAACGCUGUCGGCGCGCCUAACACAUGCAAGUCGAACGGAGUUAUUGAAGCAGAAUUUUUCGGAAGGACGCAUUAAUAACUUAGUGGCGGACGGGUGAGUAACGCGUGAGUAACCUGCCUUUCAGAGGGGGAUAACGUUUGGAAACGAACGCUAAUACCGCAUAACGUACUGAGGUCGCAUGGCCAUGGUACCAAAGGAGCAAUCCGCUGAGAGAUGGACUCGCGUCCAAUUAGCUAGUUGGUGAGGGUAAUGGCCCACCAAGGCGACGAUUGGUAGCCGGACUGAGAGGUUGAACGGCCACAUUGGGACUGAGACACGGCCCAGACUCCUACGGGAGGCAGCAGUGGGGAAUAUUGCACAAUGGGGGAAACCCUGAUGCAGCGACGCCGAGUGAGGGAAGAAGGUUUUCGGAUUGUAAACCUCUGUCCUUGGUGAAGAUAAUGACGGUAACCAAGGAGGAAGCUACGGCUAACUACGUGCCAGCCGCCGCAGUAAAAC